GUGUUUGAUGCGUGCUCAAUGUGUAAUUAGCAUGUGUCUAAUCAAUCAGUAAUUAUCGUGUGUUUAAUCUGUAAUUAGCGUGUGUUUAGUCAGUAAUUAGCGUGUGUUUGAUCUGUCAUUAGCGUGUGUUUACUCUGUCAUUAGCGUGGGUUUAAUCAAUCAGUAAUUAGCAUGUGUUUACUCUGUCAUUAGCGUGUGUUUAAUCUGUAAUUAGCGUGUGUUUAGUCAGUAAUUAGCGUGUGUUUAGUCAGUAAUUAGCGUGUGUUUGAUCUGUCAUUAGCGUGUGUUUAAUGUGUCUUUAGCAUGUGUUUAUGUGUCAUUAGCAUGUGUUUACUCUGUCAUUAGCGCAUGUUUACUCUGUCAUUAGCGUGUGUUUAAUGUGUCAUUAGCGUGUGUUUACUCUGUCAUUAGCGUGUGUUUAAUGUGUCAUUAGCGUGUGUUUACUCUGUCAUUAGCGUGUGUUUACUCUGUCAUUAGCGUGUGUUUAUGUGUCAUUAGCGUGUGUUUAAUGUGUAAUUAACGUGUGUCUAAUCAAUCAGUAAUUAGCGUGUGUUUACUCUGUCAUUAGCGUGUGUUCAUGUGUCAUUAGCGUGUGUUCAUGUGUCAUUAGCGUGUGUUUAAUGUGUCAUUUGCGUGUGUUUAAUGUGUCAUUAGUGUGUGUUUAAUGUGUCUUUAUCGUGUGUUUAUGUGUCAUUAGUGUGUGUUUAAUGUGUCAUUAGCGUGUGUUUACUCUGUCAUUAGCGUGUGGUUCCGUGGCCCCGGUGUCUCAGGUGUGCUCAGAGCUCUCUCACGUGUUCGUUGUGUGUUCGACGUGCACAGGUGAGCUCCAGGUGUGGGUCGUGUCCUUGGCUCACCCUCAGCAUGUCCAGGUGUGUUUCACCCCCGCCAGGUGUGUUCCCUGUCCAGGUGUGUUCCCUGUCCAGGUGUGUUCCAUGUCCAGGUGUGUUCCCUGUCCAGGUGUGUUCCCUGUCCAGGUGUGUUCCAUGUCCAGGUGUUUCCUGUCCAGGUGUGUUCCCUGUCCAGGUGUUUUCCUGUCCAGGUGUGUUCCCUGUCCAGGUGUGUUCCCUGUCCAGGUGUUUCCCUGUCCAGGUGUUUCCCUGUCCAGGUGUGUUCCCUGUCCAGGUGUGUUCCAUGUCCAGGUGUUUCCUGUCCAGGUGUUUCCUGUCCAGGUGUUUCCCUGUCCAGGUGUUUCCCUGUCCAGGUGUUUUAGGCAUGGUUUUGCUGUGUUUUUUGUGUGUUUUAGGCAUGACUUUGGUGUGUUAUUCGUGUGUUUUUGGACAUGGUUUUGCUGUGUUUUUUGUGUGUUUUAGG
rnacentral:lncRNA from 1 species